rnacentral:SRP_RNA from 1 species
ACGACGUUAUGCAGGAGCCAAUCUCCGUCUGGGGUCUGGAAGCACCGGCCAGUGUGCGCAGAAUUGGGGACACCUCGUCCUGCGCUGCGAGUGGGCUUUGGGCAGUCGAUCGGCAGG